CAUGAUAUUUUCUUUCUACAUGUACAAUGUUGAUUAUUUAGAGACCUCAUCUUCAUGAGACUAGCAAGGGAUGGACAUUCUGAAGAAGAGGAGAUGAGGUCCCUGCACUUCCGUUGACGAGUAUUUUGUCAGCAUUUCGAUGCGGAGUUCAUAAGGAUUGGUAGCACGGACUGGAGAAUCGUCCGAACCAUCAUGGACACACCAGGGGCAGGGGCUGCAUGCUGCCAAGGCCGAGGCGACUGCCAAGAAGAGUGGGCUCGAUGUAGUGACCAAGGAGGCACAACGUAUGCUCUUCUAUGAUGAUUUGCAUAUGUAACAGUGCUAAUCUCAAUGGAUUUGCUAACAAUCUUCAGAUUUUCGCAUUUGCUAACAAUAGCGUAUAUAUAUGGUAUAUGUGUCUUGGAAUCUUGGUAGUGGUUUAGUGGUUCUUCCUGUUAAGUUGUGCAUAUGAGGUACAACUCUU